UUACUAUAAAAUAUUUUAUUAAAAUGAGAAACAGGAUUACAAAAAUACAAAUAUUCAAUGAUAAUACAAUUUUUUACAACAUUUACAAGAUGCAAGUCCUACCACAAUACUUUUACUUAAAAAAAGCUUGCUUUUCAAAUCUUUCUCUUGUGGUCUUGUAAUCACAUACAUAUCCUUGUACUCAUUUAUUAAUCAAGAAUAAAAAAAAAAAAUACAACUUAGAAAACAAUGUGGUGUACCUUGGUAACUACAAGUAACAUCCACAGAAAUAAACUGGCACAUUUUAACAAAAACAUUAGUAAGAAACAUAGAAACAUAGAAUGAGACGGCAGAUAAAAACCAUUUGGCCCAUCUAGUCUGCCCAUUUUUUUUCCGAAAUACUUUUAAGUCACUUUUUUGUAUUUUUAUUUAUUGGUUUUGAAUUCCAAAUACACAUUUUUCUAGAUUUAAAACUGCUGUAAAAAUGUGGUUAGCUAGUAAAAGUACAUGUAAUUCACGUCAAAGGCUGAAAGUUUAUAUCAAUGUUAAAUUUUAUAAAUAUUAAAUGUUUAUGUGAAUAACAUGUUUUAUCCCAAUAGCAAUUUUUAUUCCAUUGAUUAAUUUAUAAAAGUUAUCUACUUAAUUGCCAUAACUCAUCUCAAUGCAUUUGACAAGAAAUCCAAUAAGAAACAAAAUCUUAUAUGAAAAUUUACAGUGUAUCUCUAGUGUAAAUCCAUGAAGGAAUGAAUGAACAUUAUUGUAUCUGUUAUAUGAUUUCAAAUUAAUUUCAUCUGUGUUUUGUCUUGUGUGUUCUUUCUCUGUUACAGUACUCAACGAUUUGCUACUUUUUAUAUCUUUGCAAGGACAAAAAACACAAUUUAUUUUUUAUAAGAAAUUAAUGUUCAUAUGCUUGAUUUGUAAGCAAGUCUAUUAAACCAUUCAGUCUUAUAUAUAAAUGUAUUUUACACAUGCCAAUCAUUUAUAAACGGAUGAAUGCUUUUUACCUUGAGAAUUCUGUUAUGUUAUUCCUGAAAGAUUGAUUUUCUCUAUACAUCACAUCCAGCCCUUUGUGAAUUUUUCUCCUAAUGUACCGUAUUGAAAGUAUCAGAUGGGUAAAAUAAACUAGCAAGGCUAUUCACUAAAAUGAGAAUUCAAAGUGAAUUCAGAGAGAAUUUCAAAUUUGAGUACAAAAAUCCAAAUUGAAAAAAUUAUUUAACUCCGCUUUGCUUCUAUUUUAGAUACUUUUGCCUUAAAUUUUAAAUUCACUUUUAAUUCUCACUUUAGUAAAUAACCCUGUAUACGUAUAUAUUUUUUAUUUAUCUACAUCAAUGCACACAGUCAAAUAUAUACACACUUUCACAUUUAGCUAUAUUUGGGAGCCAGUUUCAAAUAAUCAUUGCUCUCCAUUAUUUAAAAAAACAAAAAAAUAAACAUUCUGUAAAUUAUUUAAUUGUAUCAUUGAUAAAUUAAUUUUUAUAUGACUUACUUAGGAGGCCAAUGAUUAUGUGUGUGUGCGCGUGUGUGUGUGUGUCAUUUGAAAGAAUAUGACAACUAAAAAAAUUAAGAUUUAAUUACUAUUGUUACAGAGGAAUGCUAUUUAUAUCAAAUUAUAUUUUAUGUAAUAGAAAAAAAACAUUUUAAUGAGGCUCAGCCCAAAACAAACUACAUAUUUUUAUUACAACGCAGAACAGCACCUUAAACAUACAUUUAACAGUUUCUUGCACAGCAAGAAACAUCAGAUUAAAUAUUUAAGGACUAAUAUUUACCUUUAUACAUAAUACUGACACAUAUCAAUAGUAUUUUUAUAAAAGAGAGAGACAUCUAAUUGCAUAUAUCCAUAUAUAUUAUAGGUAGAACAUGUAUUUUUAUCACAAUCUGCUGUGGCCAGAUAUACUCUGAAAUAUAUAAAAUAGCAAAAGAAAAUCACAAGAGGACCUAGUAGGGAUUAUUUAAAAGUAAUUUUUGUUUGUUUUAGUUUUUUUUUUUACAUUUAAAUGUUGUUUUUGAUAACUCUGGUGAAGUUCUUCAUUGCCUGUGUUAUGCAAACUACUUUUAUACAGAUAUGAUUCUAGAGAAAUUAGGCUCAAUGGACUACUUCUUUAACCCCUUAAGGACACAACUUCUGGAAUAAAAGGGAAUCACAACGGAAUAUUUAUGUCAUGUGUCCUUAAGGGGUUAAUUAUAAAAGAAGUCGGAUUGACCAUAAAAUAUUAAGAAAAAAAAACAAAACAGGCACAUUUCGCCUUGACAGAAUUCUUCAUUCUUAUUUCUAAGUAAUGGUUGGAAUGUCAGCUCCUCAGUAUGGGUUUAGUAUCGGAAAUAAUUCAGAGAGAGACACAGGGGUGCUGAAUAGUCAGAGAGGAACAAGAGAAAGAGGAGUAAAUAUUAAGUUCAUAGGUUGGUCAGUGGUUCCCCAAAAAGUACUUAAGGCACUCCUACCAGUCCAAGAUUUAGGGAUUACCCAGUUGUGUCUAAGGUUUCUUUUAAUUAGAAAAAAAAAUCUUAAACACACCUGAAUAAUCCCUAAAUCUUGGACUGGUAGGGAUGCCUUAAGACUGGUUUGAGGACCACUGGGCUAUGUAGCAAAACUACUCUAUGUAAAUGAGACAACUUCAUCUCUAAGUGCUGAUCCUGCUUAUCAGAAUAAACUAAACAAAAUAAACAGAAUUUCAAAAUUAAUCUAAGAUCAUGUGCAUACAGCCUUAAUAUGAAAUUAUAAACUUCUUCUUAAUCCUUGCUAUUGGGGUAAUAACACAAUGUUGUUUGGUCCAUGGGAAGAACAUUCAACACUUGCACAUUUGGGGUCAUGUUUAUGUAUAGCAGGACAGUUAUGCAAGUGUUGCAGUUUUAUACCAGUUUGGCAUUUAUGGUGCUAUGAAACCUGUUGGUUAUUUUGUAAGUGUUGCUUUUUUGUGCCUAAUCAUUAUUUUUCAUCUAUUUUUCUUUUCUUUAGAAGCUAUGGAUUUGUCAAUCUUUCCAUUCUUUCUUCUAGAAAAGUGGUCUAUUUUACUUUUUUUCCAGCCGCUAUCUAGUUGGCAAUUUUUUCUGUAAUUACAAUUCCUGUUAAAAAUGGGGGAAUUUAGGCAGAUAAAAUAUUAUGGUUUUUAGACUUUUUUUAAAAUUAUAGUAUUAAUAAAUACAGAUUAGAGAUCAAAAGCAACACUCUUUUCAGAACACUUUGAUAAAUCUUCCCAAAGAAUGUUAAGAUGUAUUUUUUCCCGAAACUAUGAAGGAGUGGGAUCUGGUCACAAAGUGCAAAAUAUUUUGGUGGAUAUCUAUAUAAGAAUGAUUUUAUGCAAGUGUAAGGCCAUGGAUUAAUUACAGGGUGAAAAAUGGGUGAAGGGCAAGAAGAAGAGGACAACUACAACUGUUUGUAGUAUGUAAUUGCUAUGGGAGUAAUUCAGAGAGGGAUGACUUAGUGAAGCAAAGGUAGAUACAUGACUAUAUGUUUUAAAUGCCACAGGCAUGUCAACUAAAUGGCUACAAAGACUGUUUGAAAUUAUAUUGAGCACAGUGAACACACAACAUUUUGAGUUGCUGACUUGGAAUAGACUGCUGGAGUAAGCUUGGGAGAAUAGAAGCAGAAUGGCUGCUGCCAUAACUGCUUUAACACUGCCUAAUAAUUAAAAUGGAGUCUCACUGUUUCAGCACUCCUUGUUUGGCAAGAGCUGUCUGUGUAUAUCUGAUCUGCUUAGUGUUCCAGAAUGGAGUGAAAACAUUGUAUAUACUUCACAAUUUACCGUAUAUAGCUGAAGUGCUGGUGAAAACGAACAACAUGUAUGAAUUAAAUCAAGGCUGAAAGUCACACUAUAUGCUCUUUCUAUAAAAACAUUUUUAUCUAGCAUACUAAUACCUCUUAGCUAGGUAGGCAUACAUGGCAUAUUACUAAGGCAAGUCAUAAAAAACUUUGGAGUUUCAAAUUAAGUUGCUAAGAAUGUACACAUAACUUCAUCCACUUAAUACACAAAUAUACUUUUAUAUGUCCCCAUGGACUACAUCUCUUUAUGAAGCAAUACUUUAUACUAAAGUGAAGAACUUACAAAUAGUUAAAAGGGUAGUCUUAUCAUCACUACUCCAUAGUGGUUAUGGUGCUAUUUGGAUGUGAGCACCAUCCCCAUGUUAAGCGUCAAACUGUUUUUGAGAGGUUGGAUUAAACAAAUAGUCCCCAAAACAACGGGGGCCUGCAUGUCUUCUGCUAUUGCAAAAGAUCCACAUAUAUAAAUCAGCAACAAAAUAUGCCCAUGGCAGCUGAUGGGCUCUGCUUCUCAAUACCAUCCGAGUAUGGACAAAGUUGAUAGUGCUAAUGUGGAGGUAGAACUUUUGUAUUAGCAAUAAAUGAGCGAGAAGAAAGCUGACCACAAAUCACCUGUUUUGGUCAAACUUUUAAGAAUUGGUUUCACUUAGGACAUAGGGGAUGUAGCCUACAGCCUAAUAGCAUCAUGUAACGAUUAUGUUGCUUACAAAGUCCCAUUACAAUAGGCACAUUUUCCUAAUUGAAAGCAAUUAUAAAAUAAAUAUUAAACAAUUAUAACAGCUAUACCAAACAUGUAUGUUCUUUUAUACAUAAAAUACUAUAUAUGUUUAUUUUAUUCACUGCCCUGACCAUCACAACAUUAAAGAUCCAAUAAAUGUACAUAACGUCAUCAAUGAAUCAUCAAUGUCAUAUAUAUAUAUAUAUAUAUAUAUAUAUAUAUAGUAGCCUACAGAAUGUGCAUUUAAAUAUACUGAAGAAUUGCUUCUGUGUUCAUAAUGAGUUGGUGCUCUACAAAUAUUGACUUAUGGAGACAGUCUGACCUCCCUUUACUUUUUACCUAAUUGCCUAGUAUAUUUAUUAUUUCAGAUAAUUUAGGGAAAAUUGAUCACAUUACCAUCAAUCUUUUAUUACAUGCUAAUAAAGUCUCUGCUAUGUGUGUAGACCUGGUAUUCUUUGAUCACAGAAACAUUUUUUUUAUGUUUACUCCUGAAUCUUUCUCCUGUAUGCCUCCCUGAUUUUGAAGAUUUACAGAAAUAUGACAUUGUAUUAGACAAGUUGUACAUUUUAUAGGACACAUUAUAUGUUUUUUUUCUUGAUACACAUACUUUGCAAUAUGUAUUGGUUGACUUACACAACCUUGCUAUUUUUACCUAUUAGUAUUCUAUUCCAGCCAAUUACUUUGUGCCUUUGAAGCAGUAAAUAAUUGUAUACAGCUGUGCUUCUGUGUAACUAAAUUUUGUAGUAUGUUUUAUGCUAGAUCUGCAGAACAAUGGACCUCCAGAUGUAUUAGACUAUAAUGCCCUUUGAUAGUCACAAAGAAAGCAGGUGUCUGAUUCAUGUACAUUGGAAAUGCAUAGGAAUAGCAAUGGUUACUUUGCAUGUGUUAUGGAUUUCCAGAUAUGUUGACACUAAUUAAAUUAUUGAUUAUGGUGAUAAUAUGAACAUGUGUUAUAGUAUCCAGCAAAAUGUGUACAAUAUUGUGCAAGCUACAAGGCACUCUUAAAAUGAAGAUCCUGGCAUCACAAAUCCAAAUUUCAAAUAUUACGAUGCCAGCAACUGACAAAAAUAAAGUAAAUAACCUCCUUAUUCCCCAUAACUUCUUUUUCACAUCUGGCUUCCAAGCUAUGUGCAAUUGUUGCCUAUAUGUUAAUGUAAUAAAAAUAAAAGUAAGAGAAAAAACUUAAACAAGAAAAUAGCAUACUGCUUUAAGUAAUAUUAGGAUAAACAUAUAUGUAGUUAAGAGAAAGCAAGGCAUUUCAGUUGACUUACCAAGCUUGAUAAAAUAUGGGAGUACUUGCACACAAUACAGCAAAUAAUUAGUUGAAGGUAUGAGAAUUCUUUAAAGUCAUUAGAUCUGAAAACAAAGAACAGAACGGCAGCCCCAGUCCCUAUCAUUAAACUUUGGUGAAGGUCAAUUAUUUUGUCUCAGAUGACUAGCAAAAAUUUUCACAAUAGCCUUUUCUUUUAGAUCACUAAGGUAGUACAUUAAAAUAAUAGUUGUGUUUUCCAACACAUGAUUCAUUUAGAUUUAGUCCAUGUUUACAGUAUUUUGUGUGAAUGAGUUGCAUAUUUAUUCUGAAUGCACAUUUUUAUGGUCACACUGUAGCUUUCAUCCAGUAUAUAGAAUGCUAUUUUAAGAAGGCAGACAAUAACAGUACUUAAUCUAAAAGAGUAUAUUUCUUGUCUAUUUUUGUACGCAAUUUGUUUAUUGAAAAAUCUUAAACAAUAUUUAGAUCACUUACAACACUGACUUUUUUCUGUGUUGUAAUGUUACACAUCUCAUUGCCACUUUUAUAUGCCCCCUUUUUUUGCAAUAGACAUUUUCCACCCAUAAUAGAAAGUUACAAUGUAAUUAUGAAAGUUGCAUUUGUUCCCUUUUUGUCUGAAUGCAUAAAUUAUAUAGAUAUCAUUAUCUAUACUGCACAGCAAGCCUGUCAAACUCAAAGGCUAACAAGGGCCAAAUAAACAAGGUUUAAAUUUAUGUGGCCCGCAAAAAAAUAAAACUUCAGUUUUCAUAGAAACAUAGGUUUCUUUAGAAAAGUUAAGUAUAAAAAAGUUGCCUAAUUGUCACUGGACAUCCUCAUACUCGUAGGGCUUCAAAGUAAGCUAAAGAGCACAUUUAUUUUAAGGCGACCUGCAUUUGCAUAUAACCAAUGUUUCAGUCCAGCUACCUUUACAUAGUUAGAAAAGUUUGGUAAUGGGACUGAAAUGGUGAAAGUAUGCUGUUGCACAGCUGUAAAAAACAAAUGACGUUAUCUUGUUGAUUUUGAAGUCCUAUGAGUGUGUUCUUCACUUUGGCUGAGAUCAUUAAAAUUCCCUAUCGGAAAACAUUGGGAGGCUAUUGUCCAUGUGUUGCAAAAAGCUGCGCGGCCAAUCAGCAUCUCCACAGCAUCUCUAAUACACUGCCCCCAUCUAAUACACUGCCCACAAAUCCAAUACAUUUCCACAAAUCCAAUCUAAUACACUGCCCCUUAAUAUAAUACACUGCCCAUCCUCCUUCCGCUCUAAUUGAAUACACUGCCCCUCCUCCCAGCACUCUAAUUUAAUAUACUGCCCCCUCCUUCCUCCAAAUUACUACAUUGCCCUCCCACAAUCUAGCACACUGCUCCCUCCCACCUCACUA